GUGAGGAAUAUUGGUCAAUGGACGAGAGUCUGAACCAGCCAAGUCGCGUGAAGGAAGACGGUUCUAUGAAUUGUAAACUUCUUUUGUGCAGGAAUAAAGUGGGUUACGUGUAACCUUUUGUAUGUACUGUACGAAUAAGGAUCGGCUAACACCGUGCCAGCAGCCGCGGUAAUACGGAGGAUCCGAGCGUUAUCCGGAUUUAUUGGGUUUAAAGGGUGCGUAGGUGGAUUGAUAAGUCAGCGGUGAAAGUUUGCAGCUUAACUGUAAAAUUGCCGUUGAAACUGUCGGUCUUGAGUGCAAAUGAGGUAGGCGGAAUGUGUUGUGUAGCGGUGAAAUGCUUAGAUAUAACACAGAACUCCGAUUGCGAAGGCAGCUUACUGGGAUGCAACUGACACUGAUGCACGAAAGCGUGGGUAUCAAACAGGAUUAGAAACCCCAGUAGUCC
rnacentral:rRNA from 1 species